rnacentral:rRNA from 1 species
UACGUAGGGUGCAAGCGUUGUCCGGAAUUAUUGGGCGUAAAGAGCUCGUAGGCGGUCUGUCGCGUCGGCUGUGAAAACUCGGGGCUCAACUCCGAGCUUGCAGUCGAUACGGGCAGGCUAGAGUUCGGCAGGGGAGACUGGAAUUCCUGGUGUAGCGGUGAAAUGCGCAGAUAUCAGGAGGAACACCGGUGGCGAAGGCGGGUCUCUGGGCCGAUAUUGACGCUGAGGAGCGAAAGCGUGGGGAGCAAACAGG